CUUGAAUCCCUAUAAGAGGUCCAGCCUGCCCAGUGACUUUGUUCAACGGCCGCGGUAUCCUAACCGUGCGAAGGUAGCGUAAUCACUUGUCUUUUAAAUGAGGACUUGUAUGAAUGGCAUCACGAGGGUUAUACUGUCUCCUUUCUCUAAUCAGUGAAACUAAUCUUCCCGUGAAGAAGCGGGAAUAGAUAUAUAAGACGAGAAGACCCUAUGGAGCUUUAAACUCAAUAACAAAUACUAACCUCACUUUAACUUCCAGAACAUUGACACUAAUCCUAGUAUUAUGAUUAUUAGUUUUAGGUUGGGGUGACCGCGGAGUAAAAAUUAACCUCCACAUUGAACAGGACCUUUCCUUGAGCUAAGAACUACAACUCUAAGCACCAACAAAUUGACAUUAAUUGACCCAAUACUUUGAUCAACGAAC
rnacentral:rRNA from 1 species